CAAUUAGACCCCAAAAUCAUAGUAGGUUGUUUUUAUAAAGUUGACUGCAAUUUACAAAAAUAUUAAAAUAAAAUAUAAAAUGACAACGAGGCAUUGUUAAAACAUAUCUAAGAUCUUUAACAACAAUCUGAACCACCAACGCAAACUUGGACGGGUUUUGUUUAUUGCAGACUUAUCACCUGUACCUAUCUGAUGGCAUGUAAAACAAACAUUGUUGAUCGAAACGCUUAUCGCAAUAACGACAAAAACGAUACAGACACGCGUCUGUGUGCGCGCGUGAGCUCGCGGUCUGUGACGCCGGACGGGUGCACGCGCUGAACUCCCCUCGCGCUGUAAAUCUGUUUUCCCGUGGAAACCUCCAUCUGAAUCCGAAAACCAGCAGGAUUUUAAAUCGAGGUGAACAAAUGUUUACUGUUUAAGCGAUUACUGACUGACUUCAGACUUAUCUGAGGGGGACGGACCUGACCAUAAGACCCAGAUGGCAGGGGUCGACCAGGGCAGAAGAAAAGCACAGCCAGUACUGUCGAUGUUUGCAGCAGUCAGAGAGUAUGACAGACACACAAAGACACGCGCUCUUGCCAAAGGGGCUGUGUGACACCUUUAAAGGCCGCGAUCGGUACGUCUCAAUCAGACAAUCAAGGAUGAACGCCGGCCCACCGCUGAGGACAAAGAACCAACAAAGGAACAACAAAACAGAUUGGAGAACAACACCCUAAACCUAUGGAUUUCUCCACCCCCUCCAAACACCGGACUGCAGUGAGGGAGCCCACGGUGUAAUCUGAUUAACUUGCUGAGCAAGAGGAGAUCCAGCGAGGUAACGGGAUUAGAUGUGAGACAGGGUGGGGCGAGUGAAGUUACUACAGGAAGAAGGUGGUGAAAGGAGAAAUAUGAUGAAGAACAUGAAGAAAAACAUGCAUGACAGGUCUAAAGAAGAAGAA